rnacentral:rRNA from 1 species
UACGUAGGGGGCUAGCGUUGUCCGGAAUCAUUGGGCGUAAAGCGCGUGUAGGCGGUCCGGUAAGUCCGCUGUGAAAGUCGGGGGCUCAACCCUCGGAUGCCGGUGGAUACUGUCGGGCUUGAGCACGGAAGAGGCGAGUGGAAUUCCUGGUGUAGCGGUGAAAUGCGCAGAUAUCAGGAGGAACACCAAUUGCGAAGGCAGCUCGCUGGGACGUUACUGACGCUGAGACGCGAAAGCGUGGGGAGCAAACAGG